UUUUUAUUUUUUAUUUUUUAGAAGAUUUUAUUUAUUUAUUCAUGAGAGACUCAGAGAGAGGGAGAGAAGCAAAGACACAGGCAGAGGGAGAAGCAGGCUCCGUGCAAAGAGCCCAAUGUGGGAUUCGAUCCCGGGACUCUGGGAUCACACCCUGGGCUGAAGGCAGGCGCUAAACUGCUGAGCCACCCAGGGAUCCUAAAUACCUCUUGUAUACCAAAUAAACAUCUGGUAUUAUGUCCCAAUCCUUAUUGAAAAAUACUAUAACCACUUCACAUGACCUUGUAUGGGUGGCCUCAGGUGCCUUGGCUUUGUCUACUUCUCCCAUCUCAUCCUAAACCACUGUCCCCUUGAUCUCUAAGCUCCAAACACACUGUGUUCUUUUCAAUUCUUCAAAGAUGCCAGACUCUUUUCACCACUGGGCCUUUGUACCUGCUAUUCCCUUUGUGUGGAAUAGUCUCCUUAUAAGCUCCAUCUUUCAUCUGGGUAAUCCCCACUCACUCUUCACAUCUCUAGGAUUAUUUCCCUGACUGCCAUGCCUUCAAAAUCUGGUCAUUUUAUGGAGUUAAAUGCAUUCAUAAACCAUAUUCCUUUCCUUCAGACAUUAGAUCUCAGUUUGUCUUUACACUUUCAUUAGUAUGAUUAUCUCAUUAACGACUGUAUGUGCCAUGAAAAUGGAAACUGCAUCCGCUUCUUUAUUUAUUUAAAUUUAUUUAUCUGCUUUUUCGUAUUAUCUUCUUUAGCUAGUAUCCGGCACAUUAGAAGUGCUUGAUAAACACUGCUUAUACCAAAUCUGGUUGAUGGAUUAAGAACCUCACUAAGUGUAUAUGAAAUGUAAAAAAGUAACACCAGGGGAGAAAAAGAACAUUUGUUGGGGGAACAUCAGAGAAGCCAGAAAAAUAUCCUCAGCAUUGAAGGCAUUGGUAUAAUUAUAAGUGUUUUCUAUUUAACAUUUUUUCCUAGGAUUUCCUCUGAACAUGAUUAUCAACAACCAAAAGGUACAUAGCCUUGAAGACUAAUCUGUUUAGUUUUAUACUUUCCUAUAGAUUUCUAUGUCCUUAUAUGUAAUGUUUGAUUGAACUGAAGUAGGGAAGACCAUUGCUGUAUGGGAUUGAAGGAAAGUCAUUUUGAAAGCGGCUUGGGAUCUAGACAGAUUAAGCUGCCUCAGCCCAGGAAAUGACCUUAAUCAAGUCAUUUGAUUGUUAUGGGCUUCUAAAAGUGCUGCCAAGGACACCAAAUAAAAAGUUAGUCCCCAUAGGAAGACAGUGCGAUACCCACGCUGAGCUUAUGGAAAAUACAAGAGUAGGAAUGUGAAUUCUAAGAUAUUGAAAAAUAUUGUCACAUGAGCAGAAAAUACAUUCUGUUUAGUUUCAAGGAGCCAGAUUUGAAAGCUAAUGAUCUCAGUCUCAUAACCAGCCUCCCCAUCAGUCUCCACUGGGACGUAUGGCAAAGCAAACAGACCGACAAACCAAAAUAAUGAAGCUGCAUCUGCCACAAGAGGAAGAACCCGGAAGAUCAGUGUUAGAGGUUACUGGUAAAUAUCAUUGCCCAUGUAGGAAGAGGGAAAUCUCUGGGUUAUUAUGAACAGGAAUAUUUAUAAAGCAUCCACAGUAUAGAGGAGGUGCUGUGAAUAAUAUACCUGAGGACAAGAAAGGAGAAAGAGAAAAGAGCAUUUUGCUGAAGUUUUCAGUGGUAGUAACAGGUUUCUUCCCAUUUGUAUUCUUGUAUUUUGGGUGUUGAUGAAACACAGACGGUGGAGAUCUGAAAGCAAGGAGGUGAGCAUAUUGUGAAGAAGAGAAAGGCUAGUGGGACACAGAGAGAACAAAGAAGGGACGAGGGAAGCAAAGGAAAGCCAGGUGGGAGAACUGCCAACAAAGAGAACUCUGAAAAUUAAUUCGUUUUCUUUUAGAGAUCCUCCUAAGUCAUCUCCCAGUUUCCAAAGCAGUUUGCACACAUGACUUUAUCCUGUGUCACAUCAAGCCUGUGAUACAGAUGGAGCCGGGUCACCACCCUCAUUCUUGAUUAUCUGAGGCUCAGAGAGGAUGCAAAAUCCCAGACCCAGUGCUCAAGGAACAGGAUGGAUCUGUACAAUGUUUCUGACCACAGCAUGCACGUGGGAAGGGCCACACCACACUCCACAUUGUGUGGUAGGUAGACAGAGCAGGAGCCCUUGGAACUGCUGGUCCAAUUACCAGCUCGGGAGGUAAGUAGAGCUGCUUCCAGAAAAGGAGAAAUCCUUUAAAUCCUGUUCUACUCUCAACUCAUUCUACAAAUGUUUCUGGCAGGCCUUGUAUGGUCCUACUCUUAAGGAAAGUGGAGACUCCAUCCUUCUCUAAACAUGUACCACUUCCCUCUGCUUACAUGGAGGAAAAGUAAGAAGCACGAGUUCUUGUUGUGACUGCUUUUUGUAAUCAACAAACAUUUUUUUUAAUUUCUUACUUUAUGUCAUAAGCUUUUCUCAACAGCCUUGACAAGAAUUCUAAAUCCUGUGCUCUUGAGUUUCAGAAAGUUUCUCUGACUUUGACUUAACUGAUGUCUAAAGAAUAAGACAAAGAUGUCCAUGAUGUACUUGGUGGUUGAUAUUUCAGAUCCUGAAAUUUAUUAUGUGGAGAAAAUAGACAUUCUCCUUCCCUAUUAAAACCCUAAAUCCCAUGUUAUAAAAUAGAAAACAAGGGUUUUUCCAUGAAGCAGGUAGCUUUGUGACCAAUAUUUGUGGUUAAGACUUAAACAAAAGGUGUCCAAAUCACUUAGCUUCUCCUCACCACACUGUCAUUUUCAAGUGCAUGUUCACAUUGCAUAAGUACCUGGCACUGUGGGCUCCAGAGGACAUGGAGGUCACACUCAGAUGAACUCUCAUUCACAAAAAGACUGAGGAUUUCUGGUGAGUCACUUCCCAGUAUGGCACAAAACUUCCCAUAAACCAUUUAUGAAGGGACACUUAAUGCCAAGAUGGCAAAAGGUGGACAGGAAUAAGGGUGGGGAAUAGUGAGGGCAAGCUCCAGAAGCAUAAGGGGCCUAUGAUAUGCAAACAACACUCUAAUAAACAUGGAUGGUCUUUUGGACCAAGCAGCCAAAUCUAUAAAAGCCACCCUUCAUGCCCUUCCCCAAUUCAUGAAGCAGCCCAAAACUUGUAAUGUUAAUCUACUGCUGUCACACACACUAAACUCUGUUCUGUCCACACACACAUACAUGCAUUCUUUUUUGCAUUUAUUUAUUUAUUUAUUUAUUUUAGAUAAAGAGCAUAAGCGAAUGCGGGGGUGCAGAGGGAGAAUCUCAAGCAGACUCCCCAUCAUGGGGCUUGAUCCCACUGCCCAUGAGACCAUGACCUGAGCCGAAAUCAAGAGUUAGUCCUUCAAACAACUAAGCCACUCAGGCACCCCAACAUACAUUCUCAUAAUUCUUAAAGUGGAGAACUUGCUGGUCCUUGAGGGAGACAUACAGUGCAUUCUUGCCAUUGGGUGGGCCUGUGACAAAUUCUAGACACUGAGAUGGAUCACUUCUGGGCUAAGGCAGUGAAAAGCUCACACACACUCCAAGUCUUCUUCUCCCCCAUCAAGAUGACUGCAGAGGAGUUCUAUUGUGGAGAAAGAGCUAACACAGGUUGAAGCU
rnacentral:lncRNA from 1 species